GGCACCAUGGCGGAGUGGUCUAACGCGACAGAUUUGAAUUCGUUACAUUAUCUGUUCCAGUUUCUGGGCGCAAGUUCGAACCUUGCUGGUGUCG